rnacentral:tRNA from 1 species
GCAGGNGUACCCGAGCGGUCAAAGGGGCAGCGUUCAGGUCGCUUUUCAUAGUGCUUCGCAGGUUCGAAUCCUGCCCCUGCACCA